UGUCACCAGCCAUGUGCCUAGAGCUAACUGUGUCAAGAAGAGCAUGCUUCAAGUGGCUGGAGUGAGCAGUUCAACCUGUGGAGGAAUGAGAAAUGAUAGUGUUGAGACCAGAAACACAAAACCCAGGAAUCACUAUCGGUGUUCCCUGAGGAGCGUCAGCCUUGCUAAUUGGGUCAGGCAAGUCCAUCCCGUCCUGAGAGCCCCAGGUCCCACUUUGACCUCUGAAGUGAUGAACAGAUCCUCCUCUUCUCAGAGACCUCCUCUCCAAGCCUGCCUGGGUGGGUGCCCUGUGACUUGACAGUGGCUCCCACAGCCCCAGAGC
rnacentral:lncRNA from 1 species